AUUGCUUCUCGGCCUUUUGGCUAAGAUCAAGUGCAGAAUCAUUCUUUUGGCUCAGGAACAUUGCAGAAUUUCUGUGUUUUUGAAUUUCCAUAUGAUUUUCAGGGUUGCUUUUUCUAGAAUGGUGAAAAAUUAGUAGAAAUUACAUUCAAACUUCAGAUCACUUUUGGUGAUACGGUGUUUUGCAA
rfam:Heterocephalus glaber contig78373, whole genome shotgun sequence.